rnacentral:pre_miRNA from 14 species
UGACUGUGUGUAUGCGUGUGUGUGUGUGUGUGUGUGUGUGUGUGCGCGCGUGCACGCGUGCAUGCCACAC